rnacentral:rRNA from 1 species
UUGCCUCAGUAACGGCGAGUGAAGCGGCAACAGCUCAAAUUUGAAAUCUGGCUCCGUCCCGGUGCCCGCGUUGUAAUUUGCAGAGGAUGCUUCUGGCGACGCGCCUUCCGAGUUCCCUGGAACGGGACGCCAAAGAGGGUGAGAGCCCCGUCCGGUCGUGCGCCUAGCCUCCGUGAAGCUCCUUCGACGAGUCGAGUUGUUUG